rfam:Penicillium roqueforti FM164 genomic scaffold, ProqFM164S01
AGAGAUCACACCGCGCACCCCUGCCUAGAAAUGCCUGAUUCUGUCAGAUUAAUGAAGCAGAAAGUGGAGAGCGGCGAGAGGGCCCCUUCGGAAUCCGCAAUUUAAUACGUAGAGGAUACUUUCGGAGCGCUCUGGAAUGGGACGUUAUAGAGGGUGAGGAUCCCGUAUGAUAUGGGGUGUCCGCGCCUGUGUGAAACUCCUUCGACGAGUCAAGUUGUUUGGGAAUGUAGCUCUAAAUGGGCGGGACAUUUCAUCCGAAGCUCAAUAUUGGCCGAGGACUGAUAGUGCACAAGUAGAGUAAUUGAUAGAUAAAAAGCACUUUGAAAAGAGAGUUAGAAAGCGUGAUAUUGUUGAAAGGGAAGCGUACUUCCACGGUCCUAUGUACAAAUAAGGUUGUGGGGCCGCUAUUGUUUUGGGGUACGGCUCAUUUCUACCCAAUAGUAUUGAAGGUAGUAUAUACUAUGACGUAAGAUAACGACCCAUAGAUCCUCAAAAUUCAAAAAUGGCUUCACUUUCGCUAUGCCCAACCCUCUCUCUCCACGUCAGAAAGACUGAAACAGAGAGUAUGUACAUAUAUUUGAUAC